rnacentral:lncRNA from 1 species
UCGAAGGAGGAGCAGCCCCUUCAAAAACGAGCUGUGUGCCUGGGCUUUGCCCCCACCGCGCUCCUCCGGCGAGGCCCCGGCCCCACGCCGGCCCCGCACCACUGGCCUCUUGCCACGCUGGCCCCGCACCACCAGCCCUGCCCGCCCGGGACCAGGCUGGCUCAGCACGGCAGAGCCCACAGCUGAUUGCUCAGUCUGCUUUACAACACUGAGCUUUUACUUGGAAAUAGCCCCUUCAGCCUGAAAGCAGAAGCUCUGACAAAGACAAAUCCAUUCAUAUCAGGGCCACACUGUUAGAGAUCAGCGCUGAGGCUGAGGGAAGUCUGGGCACUGGUACCUGCUGAAGACCCCGCUCCAUCUUUCUUCAUGCAGCCUCCCAUCACACCUGGAUGUGGCUGAGACACCUUUUGGGGCUGACAGGUUCAUUCUUCUUUCCCUGCUGUGCUUUCAGUACUGUGUGGUGUCUAAUUCACAUCGUUUUCAGGCAGAGAGUGCACAUCCCUGUUUUAAUAACAUCAGCAAAAACUAUGCAAACCAUUCAGAGCUUGUUAAAAAUCUUUCACUUUUCCUGGUACAGUGGAGUUCAAUGAGGAAGACGAGUAAUUUGG